rnacentral:rRNA from 1 species
GUGGGGAAUCUUAGACAAUGGGCACAAGCCUGAUCCAGCAAUGCCGCGUGGGUGAAGAAGGUCUUCGGAUCGUAAAGCCCUUUCGACAGGGACGAUGAUGACGGUACCUGUAGAAGAAGCCCCGGCUAACUUCGUGCCAGCAGCCGCGGUAAUACGAAGGGGGCUAGCGUUACUCGGAAUUACUGGGCGUAAAGGGCGCGUAGGCGGCUCUGUUAGUCAGGCGUGAAAUUCCUGGGCUUAACCUGGGGACUGCGCUUGAUACUGCAGGGCUUGAGGCCGAGAGAGGGUGGUGGAAUUCCCAGUGUAGAGGUGAAAUUCGUAGAUAUUGGGAAGAACACCGGUGGCGAAGGCGACCACCUGGCUCGGUUCUGACGCUGAGGCGCGACAGCGUGGGGAGCAAACAGGAUUAGAUACCCGUGUAGUCC